AGAUCAGACUUCAUGUGUAACUCCACUACCCUACCAGGAUGCUUCUCAUAAAG
rnacentral:lncRNA from 1 species